rnacentral:rRNA from 1 species
UCCACGCCGUAAACGAUGAUCACUCGCUGUUGGCGAUAAACAGUCAGCGGCUUAGCGAAAGUAUUAAGUGAUCCACCUGGGGAGUACGAUCGCAAGGUUGAAACUCAAAGGAAUUGACGGGGCCCGCACAAGCGGAGGAGCAUGUGGUUUAAUUCGAUGAUACGCGAGGAACCUUACCUGGGCUUAAAUGUAGAACGACCUCCCGUGAAAACCGGGAUUCUCUUCGGAGCGUU